AGAGUUUGAUCCUGGCUCAGAACGUACGCUGGCGGCACGCCUAACACAUGCAAGUCGAACGAAGUAGCAAUACUUAGUGGCAGACGGGUGAGUAACAUGUAGGUAUCUGCCCUUUGGCCUGGAAUAACACGAGGAAACUUGUGCUAAUACCGGAUAAGUCUUUACGGAGAAAGCUUUAUGCACCAUUGGAUGAGCCUGCACUUGAUUAGUUUGUUGGUGGGGUAAUGGCCUACCAAGACUGUGAUCAAUAGCUGAUUUGAGAGGAUGAUCAGCCGCAUUGGGACUGAGACACGGCCCAAACUCCUACGGGAGGCAGCAGUGGGGAAUCUUGCACAAUGGAGGAAACUCUAAUGCAGCGAUGCCGCGUGAGUGAAGAAGGCCUUUGGGUUGUAAAGCUCUUUCGUCGGGGAAGAAAAUGACUGUACCCGAAUAAGAAGGUCCGGCUAACUUCGUGCCAGCAGCCGCGGUAAUACGAAGGGACCUAGCGUAGUUCGGAAUUACUGGGCUUAAAGAGUUCGUAGGUGGUUGAAAAAGUUGGUGGUGAAAUCCCAGAGCUUAACUCUGGAACUGCCAUCAAAACUUUUCAGCUAGAGUAUGAUAGAGGAAAGCAGAAUUUCUAGUGUAGAGGUGAAAUUCGUAGAUAUUAGAAAGAAUACCAAUUGCGAAGGCAGCUUUCUGGAUCACUACUGACACUGAGGAACGAAAGCAUGGGUAGCGAAGAGGAUUAGAUACCCUCGUAGUCCAUGCCGUAAACGAUGUGUGUUAGACGUUGGAAAUUUAUUUUCAGUGUCGCAGCGAAAGCGAUAAACACACCGCCUGGGGAGUACGACCGCAAGGUUAAAACUCAAAUGAAUUGACGGGGACCCGCGCAAGUAGUGGAGCAUGUGGUUUAAUUCGAAGAUACGCGCAGAACCUUACCAACACUUGACAUGUUCGUCGCGACUUUAAGAGAUUAAAGUUUUCGGUUCGGCCGGACGAAACACAGGUGCUGCAUGGCUGUCGUCCGCUCGUGUCGUGAGAUGUUGGGUUAAGUCCCGCAACGAGCGCAACCCUCACUUUUAGUUGCCAUCAUUAAGUUGGGCACUCUGAAAGAACUGCCAGUGAUAAGCUGGAGGAAGGUGGGGAUGACGUCAAGUCCUCAUGGCCCUUACGUGUUGGGCUACACACGUGCUACAAUGGUAUCUACAACAGGAAGCAAAACCGCGAGGUUAAGCAAAUCCUUAAAAGAUACCUCAGUUCGGAUUGCACUCUGCAACUCGAGUGCAUGAAGCUGGAAUUACUAGUAAUCGUGGAUCAGCGUGCCACGGUGAAUGCGUUCCCGGGUCUUGUACACACCGCCCGUCACACCAUGGGAGUUGGUUCUACCUUAAGGCAAGGUUUUAAACCCUUGACCACGGUAUAGUCAGCGACUGGGGUGAAGUCGUAACAAGGUAACC
rnacentral:rRNA from 1 species